AUUCACGACACAAGCGGUUCACAAAAUGUUUCGUGUUAUGCUAUAAAAAUGGAUUUUAUCAAACAAAAGAUAAUUCAUUGUGUAACAAUGAGCAUUGGAAUUGCAAACAGACGAAGAUCGUCAAAGAGACGACGAGGAGGUGGUCCAGGUCUGUGAUUGGGUUGGAUGCAAUGAGAACCACCAUACAAGAACUCUCUGAGCUGCAGCAGGUCUUAAAGCCAAAAGACUCAUUCAUCUGCCUUGUGUGCAGAGAAUUUCCACGACAGUAUUUGGUGACGAGGAUGGGAUGUGCAACUUCACUUGCUAACCACUCCUGAAGACCUGGGUAAACUGUGCACAGGGGAUUCCAAAUUGGAAUUUCAUGGAAGCCACACUCCUGAAGGAGCAGCCUGAAACCCGCCUAAGAAUCUGAAGGGAAGCAGGGUGGGUGGAUACCACAUCCUGAACAUAGAAACAUUGAGAGAGGGGAGCUUGAAUAUUUUCAAUAGGUUGAAGCUCCUGUUGAGGGUACGCCCAGAGCAUGACUCUCUGAGAAAGAGAGGCAACAGCUGGGGUGACUAGGAGGACUGGGCUAGGUUGAUUGGGUGUUUGUAAGUGAGUUAAUCCUUAGACAACUGCACAGUUGAGGGCUAAACCAAAAGUCCAGGGCCGUGUCUGGUUUGAUCACAGCAGGACUGGUGAGGUUGUGUAAGAACAAAAGUCCAGGGUGCAAGUAAACUUCUCGCGAGAGUUUCUUUGCCUGGUGAUUUCAAUUUAUAACGUGCAUUUGUUUUAUAGUGUUCUUAGAGGGCAAACCAAGUCUGCUAUUUUAAAGUGGAAAUUACAAACUUUAGAAUCCUUUUAAACCUGAAAUGCACUACAAGUGUGCAGGAAAGUUCCUGUAACAUCAGGGGGAUUAAAUUAAGAUCCUAUACCAGAGAAGUAGGCCAAUUGUCAAAGCAAUAGUCAUGUUUACAACUAAAAAGUAUAUCCUAACUCUGUCUUUCAGUGAGCAGUAAAGGUUGUUGGUGAAGUAUACCCAUACCAAUAAAAAGGCUAAUUUUAAUUGGCUGAUGUAACUACAUGAAGUUCAUGAUGAUCAUCCAGAACUCACAGACAGACAGACAGACACACACACACACAGACACACACACACUGACUUUAACUUAAUUGGAUAUUGUUGUAUGUGUAAUUAAUAGCUAAGUUAUGCAAAGUGGCAGACCGGUAACCAUUUACAGUAACUACAUUAAUUCAUUUACUCUGUCAAUAAACACCAUCAGCCAUCAGAAGAUCUAGCUAAAUUAGCUACAGAAAGUAAUGGAGAAAUCUUUGAGCUUCAUCUUGUAGCAGGUUGAGGGACUAACUUAUUUCCACUAGCUAGCAUUACUAUAGCCAUUAAGCAUAUAGGGCGGGCUAGCCAGCCUGCUAGCUAGCUCGCCUGCUAGCUAGCUCACCAGCUAGUGCAAUCAAACUUUGUUCAGUUGUUAAGUUUGUUCUAUUGGCAUGAUAACUUCAUAAUAAGUUCUGCAUCUUAGCUAACAUGAAUAUUUUUAUCUUCCAGUUUAUCUCACAGUCUAAUCCUUUCUUUUUUAAUGCCAACAGGCUUUAAACACACCCCCUAAGCCCAUGAAUAUUGUAUUAGGGGGCAUGUAAUUCUGGGUAUGGAAAAUAAAAAUAAAAUUUCAAAUUUUGACACUAGAAAUGAGAAAACAAGUCGAUUUCCAUUUUUCCAUUCGACUCUGAAAUCAAAGUAACAAAACGUACACGGACCUUGUAGGGGCAAUGGGGUGGUUUGGGAUUCACUAACAAUUUUUGCAAGAGGGAGGGUAUCUGGUUUCAUUGGUCCUCAUCUCGAGACACUUCAUUCAUGAUAAAUGGAUUUAGCAGUGAGUUAGCCUGCUCUAGAGCAGGUUAGUUCUGAAGUAUUCGUUGCCAUAGAAAUUUACCUGGCUAAAAGAUGAGCCACUUUCUUGGUACUGGUUAAACUCAGAGUUAACUCCUCAAACCAGGUCCAUAGUAUAGCCCUCUGAUCCGCUUGCUAUUUACAUUCAGCCAGGUUAUGGAACAGCUAAUCAGACAUAGAACUCCUAGACAUGGUGAGUUGACUUAUUCAUAGGAAGACUAGUUUGUUUAGCAAGGACACACAAAACCUACCACAGUAGUUAUUUUAUGGCUGGUUAUGACACCUACAUAAGACUGUCAAAACCUAGCACACAAGGCAAAACAUAUCGCAUUAUACUAUAGCCUACUUGUUUAUGUUAUGUAACAUUUUCAGAAAUGUACCAUAUUAAAUUAUCAUUGUAAUUGCUCACACAUUGAUGUCAGGCAUGCACCACUCCAGUGCUAUGUUUCUGAUGAAUGUAGGAGCAGAUUUCAGGAGCAGGACAAGACACCCUCUUUUUGACUGAUGACUGACAUAAGGGCAUGUACGUGAAAUGCCUACAAUAUCUGUCUUAUAUGAUUAUGAUGCUCAUAAUGCUUUAUGACAUUUUCAUAAAGUAUAUUUUCCAGAAGUUGUUUAAAAUAUGAUAGAACAAAAAUGACUGUAAAGAAUUCACUACAACAACAACAAAGGACUUAAGAAACUUUAAGAUGAAAGGAAACUUCUUGGCAGGGAAAAAACAUUUGAACAAAUGUGGGGUUUGACACUAUUAUGUACUGUAGGUGUCAUAACCAGCCAUAAAAUAACAUAAUAAAUGUUACAACAGGUGUAAAUAUAUGGGUCAUGACAGUGUUAUGACCAUAUUAUGACAAGCUGUUAUGACAAAUUAUAUGGUUAUGACCGUGUCAUAACAGGUUUAAUGACGCUGCGUGUCAAGUAAAGUGUUAUCGAAUCCUUUCUCUCUAUGAAAUGAAACACUGUAGUAUGUGAUGUGGUGCUACUUCUCCUGUAGAGGGCAGCAUUGUAUCAUCAAAUUUAGAAACCAGCAAUGAGACACGUUCACUCUCCCUUACAUCAAAGAUGCCACAUGCUGCUCAGAUAUUCAUGGGUACCUUUCCAUGUUGUUGCCACUACACCCGUAUGAAAUAUAGAUCAGUCAGUUGUUGAAUAUUAUCAGAAUAUCUUCCCUUUUGGUUGAGUCAUCCUGGCAAGUCUUGAAUAUUUCUUCUGAGAAUCUGUAAGUGGUUUUUCUCACUUCAAAUUAAUCAUGUUUCUAUUGUUUUUUCAGUCUUUUUUUAGUUGACUCCAUUCUUGUUUGUUAUGCUAAUUAAUUAUGCUCCCUCCUUGAUGCCACCCUAUCGUCAUAGCCCCAAACUCUCUAGAUAAACAUUAACACUAAUCAGUUUUAUUUUGAAAUUGCACCUACUCUACUAACAUAACUCUCAACAGCAAGUUGAGUUUAAAAAAAUAUAUAUCUAUAUAUCUUUUAGGGGAAAUGUAUGGAUGAGUAACUGACGGCCACCUGCCCCCCUUUUGUAGGCAUGCAGGCUGCCAGUUGCACAUCCCUGCAGUAGGGGGUGGAAGCUAUAGUGAGCUUUGAUUGGUCAAUAUUGCUGCAAUGUCAUGGAGUAUUUGCAUAAAGUUCAGCUUUCCCCAACUUUGGUUCCGCUCCACACUCCCUCACCCAUGCUCGCAUCGUCCAAUGGUCCCCCAUCCACCCACUUCACUUCCAUCCUUUGAAAAUGAAUCGGGCUCCGUUAUUUCAUCCCCCCCCCACCCCCAACGUGUUACGUGGAAAUGCACUGUAAGCGAUUCAAGUCGUUACCUUCGCUGAGGGAAGGACACUCCAUUACAACUGCACUAAUUACUAUCUACUUCACUGGCUAGGUUGAGGUUUUUCCAUGGGUGAACGACCUCAUUGCUGAAUGGAUAGAUAAAGUUAUAUUUGAAAGACAAUUGUUCCUAUUUGAAAGACUGUUGCAGUAAAUAUUGGACAACAUCAUCAGCAAUCUCUCAGGGUUGAGGAUGAUCUCUUUUGCACAGGUUUUGCUUGUAGUGGGUCCAGUUGUGGCUGAGCAGACCGAUCCUGCAGCCGCAGACACAUCCACAGACAAUGUAGGUCAGGUUGGAGGGAAGGGAGUGUCGGUUUUGUUGGUGGGUUGAGGGUCCUUUAAUUUCUGCCUUUUUUUCAUUGGCCAGAGUGAUCCGGGUGAGCAUUAAAAUGUGAGGGGGAACAAUUGUGUGGGGUAUCUGUAAUAAAUUGAGUGUCUUAACAAUCAAGCAGUCCCUUAACCUCAAUGAAAUAGAGUACAUUUAGUUUGUCUCAUAAUAUUUUACACACAAGGUAAUGGAUUAAGUCCGUUUUUUUGUGUUUUUUUUGCAAUAACAUCUUAGACUUUCAUCUUGAAAAAUAAAAGCUUUUCAAGCAUCAACUUCUAAUCUAUUGGUUGCUCUUUGAAAUAUUUACAUUUGAUCAGUAUAGACCAGUAAUGCUGUACAUGCACCAUUUUACAUUCAGAAUUAUAAAGCCUCUCUGAUCAAGCUUCAUAGAGUCUUAUUAAGUAUGCCAUUACUUCUGAUGUUAAAAGCAUAUUAGAAGUGAGAUCAAAACUCGUGCCUCUCCCUCGGCAAGGCUUUACAUUGCUUAAAUAGUCUGACUCUCCAACUCCUACAGUACAGAGAAAGAGAGAUGCCGCAGCCCAUAAGACAGGAUCUACUCAGCUCCCGCAUUCCCAUUUCAAUUUCCAGGGGAUGAGAACCUCGCUGACUAUCUUUAUUAGGAAACAUCUAUGCUGUUUGUUGUCUGUAAUUAAAAUGAAGCUUAGGGAUGAUGAUAACUUCGCUUGGACCUGAGGCACAUAUCUUCCUUAGAUGGGAUCUCAGCGCUGACUCAAGAGGAUUUUCCCUCCCCUGUCCUCUGUCUCUCUAUAUUUCCUCUUUAAAAUAUAUAUUUUAAUAGAUAUGAAAGAAGAAUGGUUGAUGUAAAUAUAAUAAAGAAACUUCAUAUAA